UAAUAUGUCUGGGACAAAUCCUUAUCUAGUUGUGGCAAACUUGCACCUGACUGCUUAGAAUCACUUAUUAUAGCACGCCUAACUACAUUAGAAAGCCCCCAUCCUCUUCACAUUAUCCCAUGUGUUUCAACAAAAA
rfam:Populus trichocarpa scaffold_19_contig_232, whole genome shotgun sequence.